rnacentral:rRNA from 1 species
GAUGAACGCUGGCGGCGUGCUUAACACAUGCGAGUCGAACGAUGAAGCCCAGCUUGCUGGGUGGAUUAGUGGCGAACGGGUGAGUAACACGUGAGUAACCUGCCCUUAACUCUGGGAUAAGCCUGGGAAACUGGGUCUAAUACCGGAUAGGAGCGUCCACCGCAUGGUGGGUGUUGGAAAGAUUUAUCGGUUUUGGAUGGACUCGCGGCCUAUCAGCUUGUUGGUGAGGUAAUGGCUCACCACGGCGACGACGGGUAGCCGGCCUGAGAGGGUGACCGGCCACACUGGGACUGAGACACGGCCCAGACUCCUACGGGAGGCAGCAGUGGGGAAUAUUGCACAAUGGGCGCAAGCCUGAUGCAGCGACGCCGCGUGAGGGAUGACGGCCUUCGGGUUGUAAACCUCUUUCAGUAGGGAAGAAGCGAAAGUGACGGUACCUGCAGAAGAAGCACCGGCUAACUACGUG